UUAUGACCAAGCCCCCCAGGCGCCCCUGACUCCAUUUUAAAUGAAGUGUCCUUCAUUUAUUUUCACAUUCCCCGCUUUUGAUCAAGAUCUUCCCCGAAAGCACUGCUGAUCAUUUCUGCAUUUACUGGGUUUGCUCUCUGUGCCUGGAAGGACCUCUCCUGGCCGUCUUGUCCGUGUCAGAGGGAGAGUGCGCGGGCUGGAAAUCGAGACCCUGCUGAGCCCCCAGAGCCCCCAGGUACUUCCACCCAUCGUCCACGGGAUCACCUCCCAGAGCUGAGACGGCAUCACCCUCUUACCGGACCGAAGACUGGUUCCAGCUCUGUCAGGAUCGGUGGCUUACGGCUCGAACACCAAUAUUUGAGAGAGAAAUGAUGGGGGAAAGGAAGUGUUGCUUUAUUCUGGAAACCAGCAGCCUGGAAAAAGGUUGAACUCAAGUCCCAAAGACCCACUUCCCCGACCAGGAGAAGACAUGGGCAGGGCAGCUGCCCGGAGCCCCCGGGGCCACUGGGUGUGGACUUGACCCUGAACAGACCUGCCGGCAUCUGUGACGGCUGUUCUCAGACUCGGUCAAGCCUCAUCUUCUUGGAGCAUCUGGUCCUUCACCCCGUGAGGCCAGUGGUCUGCAGACGUCAAGGAGAGCUGUUAGCUCUGCUAGGGACGGAGGACUUAGGUCCUCAAGAAGAAAGCGUGAGCAAGGGUCUGUGUGCGGAGGGUUAACAAAGUUCAAGAACAGUUACAGCAGGCAGAAUUAAAAUUCUCACAACUCCAGCGUGUAUGAUGGCUCGAAGGCAGGGGCCCGGCCCGCAGGUGGUCUUGCCGUCGCACAAACCCCCCUGCUCAGUAAGCGGGUGAUCAAGGCCACGCAGCCAUCCCAAACCUGCGGCCAGCCUGUCUGUCGGCGUUGGCCGGGCUGCCCCUGCUGUGGCGGCGGAGCCCAUUUCCUCGCGUGAGGGAGACGCUUCUGAUGGCGACAGCUCAGCACCUCUUCUGACCCUGGAAGAAAGACGCCCGCUCCCUCCAGAAGCAAACCCAGGGGCAGUCAUGGAGGCCCCGCGGGAUCGGAGCUCUGGUGUGUUACAGGUGGGAACAGGGACACCAAGGUGUCCGGUAAGGACUGACCUCUGGCUUGCCAGCCUUCCGCACAUUCCUAGACGCCGGGCAGUGCCAUCCACCGCAGCAAAAGCAAAGCCAGACGCAGCGUAGAGGACCCGGCGGUGAUGCGAACCGAGAGCCACAGCCUCCUGGGGGGUCCUCUCCCCCCCCGCAGGUCGGCAGUCCGGACGGCGUCCGGGAGGCCCGCUCUUCCUAAAAGGGUCUUUGCUAAAAACCUUGAAAGAGCACAAACUCACCUGGAUCUCUGCCCUGCGGAGAGAGACCAUGUUCAGCUGCGGGUCGGAAGUAGGAACCAGGCGCACUGCGUAUGCUGUGGUCCCUCGAGGGGUGAGUCUUGGAGCUGUGAAAGGACAAACCUGAGAAUCCAGACCAGCAACGGAGCCCCCCAUCGGGUGUUCCCAGGCUGUCUAUGAACUUUGCCGAGAGUCUCACUGGAGCCAUCCGUGUGUUCCGUUGGCUCUGAGGGCUGAGGGUGCUUCGAGAGUUUCACAGGCUGGGGGGUAGGUAGGAACGACCCUGUCCCAGAGGACCUUAGCCCCAGAGGACCUCAGCCCCGGAGCAACAGCCCACCUACAAGGAUGACCAACGGCUGUCCUACGGAUACAGCGAGUGAGUGCCCUGCCCUGAGGAAGUACUCAAGGGUCUGAAUUCUGCAGGGAUCAGAUAGGGAGAAAAGGUAAUGGUUUAAGGCUCCGCAAGAGCUCGAUGUCCUUCUGUGCAGUGCAACGGUGUGGUUCAGGAGUCCCCGGAGAACAGUACGCCCAAGCCAUUGCCCGAGCCCGUUGCUGAAUUUCUCUGCAGCUGAGGCCACGGGCAGCUGCGUCCUGGUGAAAGGGCAGUGUCUGCAGGUGACCGAGGCUCGGCUGCCGUCACCAUGUGUCCGAUGGGAGCUCGCUGUGGCCGAGCUGACAAGAGCGUCUGCUUAUUGCCGUGACAUGCAUUUAAAAUUACGACUGAUGUGUUAUAUCAGGACAGGUGAGAUGGCCAGAAAUUUCACAUCACUUCUGGAACAUUUAUAACAUAUACCCAUACAGACAUAGGGUAAAGAGGGCUUCCCGUGUAAUCUAACAUCUCAAAUAAGCCGAGUUAGUUUAAAUUCUCCUUUAUAUAAGGAGAGAGAACAAAUCUUAAGAUAUUUCAGGGACCCUCUGUAAAACUCAAAGUUAAUUCAAGUUCAAAAAGGCUUUACCUGGAAUUUGAAUUUUGGAAAGUUUGUCAAAAAGAUCAGAAGAUUUUCAAGCACUUAGGCAAAUAGGAUCAUAGGUCGCCGUGAACCAAUAUUUGGUUAAUCCUUUAACCAAAGUGACGAAGGCUUCAGAGGAAGCACAGAAGGUCACGAGCAUCUUAGCAAAACUUAACCCUUGAUAUCGAGAGGACGAGGUUUCCUUUGGCAGGCGAAGGCCUGACAGACGUGGGAAAUUAUUUUGGCAAAAUGUAGAAUGCUUGUUUUCUGGGCAGAUAAUUUGGAUAAAUAGAGGAAACGCUGUCACAGUCUCUUACCAGGAGCAGACCAGUGUCCUUCCAGAAGAAAGGAAGUUAGGUCCCAGUUUUAUGCACAGACACGACUGAUGUUGAAGCUUGUUUUUCAACCUGAGCACAUGGCGCGCCUGGGUGGCUGAGAGGGUUAAGCCUCUGCUUUCAGCUCAGGUC